rnacentral:rRNA from 1 species
CGGCGAGGCUAAGGGCAGUGAUGCCCGGAGCCGAAGCGAAAGCGAGUCGGAACACGGCGCCGUUAGUCGGCGCGGGUGGACGCGAAACCAAGUGAUCUACCCUUGGGCAGGCUGAAGACGGGGUAACACCCGUUGGAGGGCCGAACCGGUAAGCGUUGAAAAGCUUUCGGAUGACCUGAGGGUAGGAGUGAAAGGCCAAUCAAACUUGGAGAUAGCUCGUACUCCCCGAAAUGCAUUUAGGUGCAGCCUCGGGUGUUAUACCGCGGAGGUAGAGCGACUGAUAGGAUGCGAGGGCUUCACCGCCUAUCAAGUCCUGACAAACUCCGAAUGCCGCGGCAUGAAUCCCGGGAGUGAGGGCGCGGGUGCUAAGGUCCGCGUCCGAGAGAGGAACAACUCAGACCAUCGGCUAAGGCCCCCAAAUGCGGGCUAAGUUGAAGACCAUAACGAGGUGGGAUUGCAAGGACAGCUAGGAUGUUGGCUUGGAAGCAGCCAUUCAUUUAAAGAGUGCGUAACAGCUCACUAGUCGAGUGAUCCCGCAUGGAUAAUACGCGGGCAUAAGCCGGCUGCCGAAGCCAUGGAACGGUGGGCUGGACCCACAGUUGGUAGGGGAGCAUUCCGUAGCCCUGUGAAGGUGUGGCGCGAGCCAUGCUGGAGGGAUCGGAAAAGCAAAUGUAGGUAUAAGUAACGAUAAGGAGGGCGCGAAACCCUCCCGCCGAAAGACCAAGGGUUCCUGAUCAACGCUAAUCGGAUCAGGGUAAGUCGGGGCCUAAGGAGCAGCCGCAAGGCGGAUCCGAUGGACAAACGGUAAAAAUUCCGUUACCCCUGUUGCGAGCGAUGUGGUGACGGAGGAGUGGAAAUCCCGCGCACUGACGGAAUAGUGCGUUAAACCGUGUAGCUUUAUGUUCUCCAGGCAAAUCCGGAGGACUUGUGAAUCGGGACAGUACCGCGAGCCCCCGGGCGAGCGGAGAGCGGAUGGAAACAUACUCCCAAGAAAACCCGCUAAGCAUAUCGUAACAGGGCCCGUACCGCAAACCGACACAGGUGGUCGGGUAGAAGAUACCGAGGCGCUCGAGUGAUUCACGGUUAAGGAACUAGGCAAAUUGACCCCGUAACUUCGGGAUAAGGGGUCCCUCCUGUAUGGGAGGGCGCAGAGAAUAGGUCCAGGCAACUGUUUAACAAAAACACAGGGCUGUGCGAAGUUUAAUGAUGAAGCAUACAGCCUGACACCUGCCCGGUGCCGGAAGGUUAAGAGGAGAGGUCAUCGCAAGAGAAGCCUUGAAUUGAAGCCCCGGUAAACGGCGGCCGUAACUAUAACGGUCCUAAGGUAGCGAAAUUCCUUGUCGGGUAAGUUCCGACCUGCACGAAUGGUGUAAU